UUUUUCUUUCUUUCUUCUAUCGGGAGGAGAUGGGGGGAUGAGCGCCCACCCCGUCCCACCUCUCGUGCAAAAGCAGCAAAAAGGCAAGCGUCCGAACGUUCACCUCCUCAGUGUUGUUCCAGCCACUAGUCUGACGCUAUAAAAACUCACCUGCUCACCGCUUCUAGACGCAACCAUCUUUGUUGAAACGUUUCCACCAUCCACAUUUUGUGUUCCUUUCAUCCAACAGGAAAAGGAUUCAUCAUUGAAACUCGAACCGAAAAUGAGGAUUAACAUCAAAGCUAUGGCCGUUCCUGCUCCCAGUAAAUUACUCCUUUGCUGUUACGUCUUCUUGUUCAUCGGCGGCGCAAAGGCUCGGCCCUACUCCGAAGGACUCGCCACUGGUCCCGUCAGCGAGGAUUCCAACGCCAAGUAUGAAAUCUACGUACCGGACGGCCGAGGUGAUAUGGCCCAGCAGUUGUUGACUCUGCCCGAGAUUCGCACUCUGCUGGCCCGCCAAGCCGACAACCCGGGCUAUUCCGAAACUGUCUCCUUGGAAGGUGGCAAGCGUCUGAUGGAGACCGUUCAGGUGCCCUUGCCUUCGGUGCAGGCUUCCAAAGUGGGCGUGUCUGAUGUCAUCUCGAGCGUCAGGUCCAUCAUGGCGUCCGAAAUGGCCCAGCACGAGCAGCAGCAGCAACAACAAGAAAAAGUUUUUGUCGUCCAAGCUCAACCACCUCCCGCAGCUGAAGAUGCCAGUGCAGCCGUCACCGCUGAAGCUCAAACUGAUAUCGUCCUAGUGGCCGAAUCUACCGAACAAUCGCCGCAAGAAUCCACUCUGGCCGUUGCUGAACCCCAAGCAGAAAAGGCAAUUUCUUAUUCCGCCGAUCAACGUGAGGAUCAUCAUCACGACCAUCACGGAGAACAUCACGGAGAACAUCACGGAGAUCAUCACGGAGAUCAUCACGAUAAACAUCACGCAGAUCAUCACGAUAAACAUCACGCAGAUCAUCAUCAUCAUGAACACGAACAUCCAGUUGCUGUUUUCGAAGCCUUGCCCAAGGAGAGCAUCGGCCUGUUAGCUACGAAUCAAGCCCAGGAUCAGGAACUGAACGACUUGACCUUGUCCAGCAACAAAAUCGCGUGGCAGGUGUGGAACAACGUCAUCAAGGAGCGAUCCGUCGAGGACAAUCGAGUUUUCUCGCCCCUGGCUCUGACGUCCGCCCUGGGCAUCACGUUCCUGGGCGCUAGAGGCUCGUCGGCCGAAGCCAUCGACGCCGCUCUCGGCCUCGAUCGUUUGACUUCGCGCAAUCCUCACUUGCAUCUGCAGCAGGUGGCCAAGGACGUGGACGUGGGCGAGCAUUUCCUCUCCAGCCAAUCGCACACGGUUUACGUCGACGACAAACGCGGCAAAGUGCAGGGCGUUUUCAAGGCCAGAUUGGACACGCUGUACGGUGCUGCCACCACCAGCAAUUUGACGGAGGCCAAGCAGUUGAUUGCCAGGAACGUUGGCGCCGAGGCAGAACAAACCGAUCUCUACUCACCUCUCGGCAUCGUUUCCACCAGCACCCUCAACGUGGCCUGGCCAAGUUCGACUUACCCGGCCAGCCAAGAAGAAGAAUAUCUUCACUUUCUGAAUUUGCCUUCAUCGGCACAAGUGGCGGCCGGACGUAAAUUGGUGGCCGUGCCCACCAUCCGCACUGCCGGCCAUUUCUACGCCGGAUACAACGCCGAAUUGGACGCCACCACCGUAGCCGUUCCUCUUCAUCCAGUCCGCCAAGGCGACGCUUCCGUUUGGGCCGCCAGCGAUGCGCUGGAUCAAGCCGGCCAUCUCAGCCUCGUCCUCGUCAUGCCCGGCUCUUCUUCCAAAUUCCAGGCCGGCGGAUCGGGAUUGGCCGCUUUGGAAUCGCGUCUGGCCGGACAGGAGGACAGCUGGGACCAUCUGCUGCGUCAGACCAAAGCGCACCAUCUCCUAGUGGAGAUGCCCAAACUCUUUGAUUCGGAACGGUUGAAUCUGACGGCAGCCGUCAGGGUGGCCGAAGGCGGUCGCCUGGCUCCGCUCUUCGACAAAAAGAAGGCCGACUUCAGCGCCAUCUCUGGAGCGAAACCUCUAUACCUGAGCGACAUCAUCCAAUUUGCGCGGCUCAACAUUUCGUCGGUCGCCACCCUCACCGGCGGUGAUGAAGCCACCGGUAGGAGCGCCGAUGCCAAGAAAAAGACAAUGGCCAAACCGAAUAAUAAUAACAACAAGGCCAAACAGAACACGGCGAAACCCAACAAAGUGCAGGUGACGGUCAAAGCUCCUUGCCAGGAGGCCAUCGAAAAAGCCGUGGCUGCAGCCAUGCACGCGCACAUCAAAAAAUAUCAGCAACAGACCAAGGCCCAACCGACAGCCGUGGCUGUGAAAAAACCUGAACCCAAACCUGCCGCCAAACCGGCUAUUAAACCUGCCGUUAGUAAGCCGAUGGCUAAGCCCGCCGCUGCUUCUAUGUUGAAACAUCCAUCACCCAAACCUGCGGCAAAACCUGCGGCAAAACCUGCGGCCAAACCUGCGGCCAAACCCGCAGCCAAACCCGCAGCCAAACCCGCAGCCAAACCUGCGGCCAAACCCGCAGCCAAACCAGCCGUCGCUAUGAAAAAACCGGCAGCUGAACCGCCUGUCAAACCGGUCAAUGUCAAACAAUCGAACGCUCAAACAAAACCUGCCGGUACGAAACAAUCCACCGCCAGGCCUAACACGACCAAACGACCCGCGACGACUACCCGCCCCACCAGCGCUCGCCCGACUGCACGGACGACAACCCGACCCAGGGUCCAACAAAAAUCAACAACCAAGAAACCGGUGGCUACCACUAAGAAGCCGGCGGUCACAACCAAGAGACCUCUUAGCAUCCAGUCAGCCACUAGACCGAGGCCCGUUGUCCAACAGACGACCAAGAAACCGGUGACUGCUGCUGCCACCACCAAAAAACCUGCUGCCACCCAAGAAACCUGCGGCAACCACCAAGAAACCAGCGGUAACCACCAAGAAACCACCGCAGAUUAUUAGCCAAGGCGUUUCUGCUAAAACGACAGCUAAACCUAAAACGACGGCUAAACCUAAAACGACUGCCAAACCAAAGACGACUCCCAAAACUCCUUGCCCGCUCCUCCACAAACAGCAAAACGCUGUCAAUAAAGCCAACAAUCAACAAACACCCGCCAAGCCCACGACGACUAAACCCAACGCUAACAAAAAGACCGAGAAUCCCUCCAAGAAGGCUGGCAGGAUGGAACGCGAUGUCGUUGCUGCAGAAGAGAAUCACCAAGUGCAACGCCUCAGUUUCAAUCGGGCAUUCCUCUACGCCGUACGUCACAAUCCCACCGGUCUGCUAUUGAUGG
rnacentral:misc_RNA from 1 species